rnacentral:lncRNA from 1 species
GGCAAAUCCUGAGCUUCACUCCAGGUGGUCACAAUCUGACCCUUGUGACCUCAUGCUUCCCCACCCCCAUUUGUGAAGUUCCAUCACAGGAAGUUCUUCUCCAGUGGCCCCUGAUCCAGGGAGACCCACCCUGCAACAGCCCUUGUCUCCCUCCGCCCUUGGUUCCUUCUCACCCAUCUCACCACCAUCUGCCCAGGGGAGCCACAUGUCCCAAAUUUUGGAGAGAAAAUAAUUGAGGCUCAUUUCCAGGACAGAGGGGCAAGCUGGGUCUAAAGAGCCAAGCAGAAAGGCUUCCCAAAAUCGCUAGGUUGGGAGGGGUCAGAGACGUGUGGCUGCCCCAGCUGUUCUGACUCUGCCCCAGCUUUUGGCUCCACCCCCUUAAAGCACCUUCAGAGGUUCCCAUGGCGACAGUAAACAAGUCUCCACUGCCUUGGCCAUGUGCUGUGUUCACCCCACUCCUGAUCUUGUUGGCUGCUCAGGGGCUGACAGCCCAGAUGUGCAGCUGUGAUGAGCAGAAACAGGGAGGAAUGGAGCCCCCAGCCAUUGUCAUCACUUCCUCAAGCUGUCUAAAUUCUGCCCAGCAGUCUGUGAAAAUGUUGUGCUGAUGACAUAUGUAAGGACUCUAACUCCCCUCAAACAAUCUGCUCACCUGAAAGGCUCACUCCUGUUGUAAUAAAUGACACAUAAGGUCACAAUUCAACCGGUACCCAUCUUGGAUACCACUUCUUAUGUAAACAUCAAAUAUACACCCUCUUCCCACACACUAAUGUAUCCUGUAUAUUUGAAAUAAAAGUUAGAGAUAUACAUACAGAGAUUUAAAAUCUAAAACUGUCCCCUCCCCAGUAAGUCAUGUAUCCGUUAAAAGAAUAUCUGGAAACCUCCAAAAGGAAGCCAAGCAUAGACUAUUUGGAAGAACUUGAAGGAGCGAGAGCUGACCCCAUCUUUGUACACUGGCAGCACAAGGACAACAAUCAACACGGAAGACUUCUGUGACCAAAUGUGUGCACGUUUCUCUCCAUACACCAAGCAAGCAAUCUAUUCUGCAGCAGACACCAACUGGAAGUCCUCCAAUUCAAUUCAAUUCUGACACUGUCUACCUGGAAAUGGCCUCAGCAACCACAGGUUGAGAGCUCAGUCCCACAAGAACACCUCCUCCUUCCAACCAGUUGAAACUCCACACCUCCAGAACUUCUCACUGACUGGCUUCGAGUUGAGAAAAACAUCAAAAUGUUGUACAAAUUUGUAAGGAUUUGAUAAUAAAUUUUGGCAGAUGUCCAAUAUCAAGAUCACCAACCACUUCAUUAAUAAUUGUUGUUAAGUCAUGGAACUUGUCUGCAGAAAUUGUAUUCUUCCAAGCUUCUAACUGAGGAUUUUGCCCUUCAACCUUAUCUGCUGUGAAAAGACAUGUUUUUUUUUGCAAAGCAAUAUUAAGAUAAUUGAAAUAUCCAAAAUACUAGACAAAUGAGAAAGAUUCGUUGUCCAAUUUCAUCUUAAAGUCAAUAUCAAAUUGGUUGCUUACCUUGGAAACACUGAGAUUGUUCUAUAGUUCAACAGUUCUCCACCAAACUUU